rnacentral:rRNA from 1 species
UUCGGAUUGUAGGCUGCAACCCGCCUGCAUGAAGUCGGAAUUGCUAGUAAUCGCGGAUCAGCAUGCCGCGGUGAAUACGUUCCCGGGCCUUGUACACACCGCCCGUCACACCAUGGGAGCCGGUAAUACCCGAAGUCAGUAGUCCAACCUCGUGAGGACGCUGCCGAAGGUAGGAUUGGCGACUGGGGUGAAGUCGUAACAAGGUAUC